GAUGAAGAACGCAGCGAAAUGCGAUAAGUAGUGUGAAUUGCAGAAUUCAGUGAAUCAUCGAAUCUUUGAACGCACAUUGCGCCCCUUGGUAUUCCAUGGGGCAUGCCUGUUCGAGCGUCAUUUGUACCUUCAAGCUCUGCUUGGUGUUGGGUGUUUGUCUCGCCUCUGCGUGUAGACUCGCCUCAAAACAAUUGGCAGCCGGCGUAUUGAUUUCGGAGCGCAGUACAUCUCGCGCUUUGCACUCAUAACGACGACGUCCAAAAGUACAUUUUUACACUCUUGACCUCGGAUCAGGUAGGGAUACCCGCUGAGCUUAAGCAUAUCAAUAAGCGGAGGA
rnacentral:misc_RNA from 1 species